UGAGAAAGAAGGUUCGUAGUAGGGCUGCUAACUUUACUUCAAGGGGCUCAAUCCCCUUUUUCUUAU
rnacentral:tRNA from 2 species